CCAACACACAUGUCAGCAUGUUAACUAUUUCAAAUAAAAUAUUAAAAGAGCCAAUGGGUUGGUGCCACGGCACUCACGAGUCACGACACAUUCCUAAAUAAAGUGUACGGUAAACAAUCAGCACAGAAGCCAAAAACCCCAGGCUUUCUAAGUCAUCACGGCAGCAAAUGCAAAUAUUUAUCUGAAACAUUCUAACGCUAUCACCACGUCGGUGCUUUGCAAAACAUUGACACGUAACAUUAAUGUAUACCGAUUACUUUAACUCAAUCAUCAAAGAAAAGGCUUAAGCAAAGUCAAUUUUGAUCUGUAUUUGGGGGUCAUGCAAAUGCCAAGCCACCAUAUUAAGUGGAAAGAUACUUUGAAUUCAGGGAAUAUUAUUUGGAGCGUCAGUAAGAAUAGAGUGCGCGGUGCGUAAAAAUCUUAUUCACGAAAAUAGUAAAUUGACGUUUCAUCUAGUUUUGGUAGGUUUGAAGUCAGUUCCACGU
rnacentral:lncRNA from 1 species